ACAGUAUUUUGGAAUUCAGCUCCCAUCAGCUGAAUCAGUGAUCAAGGGUGAUAGGAAUUGUAGUCCUCAACAUCUGGAGGCACUGCAUUGCCAACCCCUAUACUAGACGAACAAGGCAGCUUUGUGGGAGGGGAAUUUAUGUGUGUUUCUUUUUUAGGUGCUGAACUCCAAGGCAAUACGGGCCGAUUCCCUCCUUGGGGUCUCCAGGGUGCAAUUUGGGCUGAUAUCUACAGAGAGGCAGAAAUCAAGAGAUUGAGAUCGAGCUUGUGUAUGAAUCUCCAGGUCAUGCUCUGAUGGGCAAAUGGCUGAGCCUCUAUGACCCAGCUAAUCUCAAUGCCGGACUAAGGGGCUAUGUGAAAGUUCACCUCUGUGUCCUUGGAGCUGGAGAUCAGGCGCCGGUAAAAAUCUUUACAUUACAACAUCUUCACCACCUCAACAGAGGCUUGUCACGGGCAUUCAAGUUCAUGUGAUGCCAUUGGCAGCUAUUAAAAUGAUGGGGUGCCUUGUUUGGAUAAUGGAAUAAAGCAUCAUUUUUCAAGACUGGUAGGUCAGACGCCUGUGGGACGCGGGUGGCGCUGUGGGUAAAUCCUCAGCGCCUAGGGCUUGCCGAUCGCAUGGUCGGCGGUUCGAAUCCCCGCG